rnacentral:rRNA from 1 species
AGAGUUUGAUCCUGGCUCAGGACGAACGCUGACGGUGUGCUUUAGACAUGCAAGUCGAACGAGAAAGCCCUUCGGGGUGAGUACAGUGGCGAACGGGUGAGUAACACGUGGGUAACCUGCCCCUCGCAGGGGGACAACCGGGGGAAACCCCGGCUAAUACCCCGUACGCUCCGAGGUCCGCAUGGGCCACGGAGGAAAGGUAGCUUCGGCCAUCCGGCGAGGGAUGGGCCCGCGGUCCAUUAGCUAGUUGGUGGGGUAACGGCUCACCAAGGCGACGAUGGAUAGCUGGUCUGAGAGGAUGAUCAGCCACACUGGGACUGAGACACGGCCCAGACUCCUACGGGAGGCAGCAGUCGGGAAUCUUGCGCAAUGGGCGAAAGCCUGACGCAGCAACACCGUGUGGGCGACGAAGGCCUUCGGGUCGUAAAGCCCUGUUGUUGGGGACGAAGGGCGAAGGGUUAAUAGCCCCUAGUCUGACGGUACCCUUCGAGGAAGCCCCGGCUAACUACGUGCCAGCAGCCGCGGUAAUACGUAGGGGGCGAGCGUUGUCCGGAAUUAUUGGGCGUAAAGAGCGUGUAGGCGGUUCGGUAAGUCUGCCGUGAAACCCCGGGGCUCAACCCCGGGCGUGCGGUGGAUACUGCCGGGCUAGAGGGUGGUAGAGGCGAGUGGAAUUCCCGGUGUAGCGGUGAAAUGCGCAGAUAUCGGGAGGAACACCAGUAGCGAAGGCGGCUCGCUGGGCCAUUCCUGACGCUGAGACGCGAAAGCUAGGGGAGCGAACAGGAUUAGAUACCCUUGUAGUCC